GGGCGGGGCCGAGCGUGGUGGUUCGCUCACGUGCGGUGCGCGGGAGGUUGUCUGUUUGUCCUCUCAGCGCCUCGAUGAGGGCGGUGGGCGUGGGUGUGCUCGGUGAGGGCUGCGCUGGGCUUCCCGUAGGAGGAAUAACUGUACAAGAAGGGGCGGCGAGAGUAAAUUCCCAGCAAUGGGUCUCCACGAGUGCCCGAAACAAAACUAUUUUGAUUUCAAGAAAGGGAGAGUUGGGUGAAGCAACGCAUCGGCACAGGCUGCCCGGGGAGGUCGUGGAGUCACUGUCCCUGAAGAUGUUCAAGAACCAAGGCAGAGAAGAGAUGGUUCAGUCUUCCACAGCUGCAAGUAAUGAAGUAAAACCAAUCUACAUACAUCUGCUCAACACAGGGACAGUACAACAAGAACUUUGCACUAAUACCACAAGUAGAGAAACUGAAAACGUUUUAAGUCAUUGAAAGUGUGCACAAGUAGAGUUAAGUUUUGGGUAGAUGUGAAAUAAUGGAUGGUCUGAAGAAAUAUCCAGGGGCAACUGACAGAAAAUCAGAAAGUCAGGAGAGAUCCACUGCAGAGGGAGAGAAGUAGGGGGGGAAUGUUAGUAAAGAGGCUGGGUCAAAGCUGUGAAGUCAGUUAUCAUGGUUUGUUCAUAAUGUUUGGGUUCAUUGCUUUUUUUUCUCUUUUUUAAUUUUUUUUUUUUUUUCAUACUAACUAAUGGUUAUGUUUUAAGCCUUCAAUUCUAUGAUCAGAGCAGAGAGUCAGCUUUCAGUACUGGAAAAAAAAAACAACAACAAAGAAUAAAGGUCAUUUUCUGCUUUUUAUGACUAUGAAAUCAAUGGUGAACUUUCACUACAUGAAAACAGAAGAGAAAAGGUCCCAGUGGCAUGCUGUGUACAUUUGUUUCCAUCUCUAUUUUGGUAGAUUUUUUUUUCUUUGUCUUGCUUGGGGUCUGUAAUGCCCCCCAAUAUUUUCUUCCUUUUUCUUUCUUUUUCUUUUUUCUUUUUUUCUUUUUUUUUUUUUGAACAGCAUAAUGGUAGACCCCUAACAGAACAUAAGCACAUCUUGCCUUUAUUCAGCACAAAACACGCAUCUUAAAUCUUCUCUUACAGUUAGGUUCACAAAAGCAAACCUCAAGUUUUUGUUGGUGUUGUUUGUUUUUGUGAUUUUUUUUAGCACAACAGAAACCACAUCCUCAGAAUCACGAUAGCAUGUCAUGGUCUGUCUCACUGGCCUUAUUUCAGAAUGCUGCCACACCUCAAUUAAAAAAAACUAAUAAAAUUAAGAUAACUACUUACUCCACUGUAAAACACUUUGAAGACUUAUAGAUGAAGGCAUUAAGUGAGAACAACUUGAAAAUGAAACAUCAGAUACUCUGUACACACUCAUCUCAGGCUUGGUGUUUGAGGAGUGACGAUUUAAUCCUCUUCAAACUGCUGAACAGUUCAAAUGCCUUUCAUCAUGAUUACUAUUUCUUGUGCAUUUCUCUUCUUACAUCUCUCCCCACUUUUAACUCUUUCCUCCAUGCAGUAUAUAAAUUGGUUUUAAAUCAAUCCCUUAAGAAUCAAACAGUUUUCUGUAAAAAUGUGACGUGUCCCUGACAGCAGUUAAGGAGAAAGAUGAGUGGAAAACUUUUGUGGUGUAAAUAUUGGUCGCAAAUCUCUUGCUGUUUCUGGACAAACUCUUUACAUGCUGGUCACUCAAGCUGAGCAUUAGAAAGUAAAGAAAAAAAAACUAGUUUUCUAGAAAUCUGUUAUUUACGUAUUAAAAGUCUUUAAAAUAUCAUUUACUUAUUCUUCACUUUCACUGAAAACAUAGAUCUGUGCCUUUGUUACACAGGUGCUCAGCUGUUCAGCAUUUAUUGCAGUAAUUAGGUUUUUGGGUUGAUGUUGUUAUUGGUUUUUUUGCCCUUGAAUAUGUGAGGGUUAAUCUGUUCUGUAAUAUUUUAGUCCAUUUGAACAAAGCACUGCUGAAGCGGUUUUCCUGAUAAGCACUUAGGUCUUUUUUUUCCCCCUCUUUUAUCUUCAGUGUUGCAUAUUUGUCCCAUGGAAGCCAUAAGAACCAUCAUUUGAUACAGCAGAAGUUAUACAACUGGCCUAUCUUAAUACUGUUUCUUAGUUUUGUACUGGUGACUUUGAUGAAGUUUGCUCUAGAGAAAUUCACUAAAACCAGACAAAAUGGUUUAAAUGAGCUAAGAGCCAGGAAAGCUGUAGGAGACAACUGGUUUGGCUUUGGAUUCAUGUUUGUUUUUUCUAGGAUCAAGUCAUAUCACUCCUCUGAAUCAGCAGUAGUUCUGAGAGGCUUUUUGUUGUUGUUGUUUGCUUAAUGCAAUUACAAAUAUCACUUGCUGCAGCAGGAAAACACAGAUCACCUCUGGAGCAAGUACAUAGCUGAAGAUCUGAACAGCACUCCAGGCCUUACAUUGACCCAGGGUCUAGAGGCAAAUUGGCAUCCUUUUCAGUUUUUACAAUUUGUUCUAAUCAGAAAGUAAACAAAAAGGAGUAGUGGAAAAGAAACUGCUGAUUUCUGACAUUAAAACAGAAACAAACCUGCAAGUGAUCUAGUGAAGACGCACAAGGGCAAGAGAGAGCCAAAUUCAACUUUGGUGACAUCUGGUGCAACUCCCAUUGACACUGAGGUCAAAAGUCCCUUAUUGCAAUGUGAGAUUUGGCCACUUGUAGUAUAGUUGAGUUUGGAAGUGUGUUCUGUGCAACACUGCAGCAGUAAGAAAUCAUUGAAAAGCCAUGGCCU